AUUACAAGCAGGUGGGGCUAGAAGUUAUUUAGUGAACCUUACAAAGACAACAACUCAACCAAAAGAAGGAAGACAUGCUCACUGUGGUUAGCAUUAUUGUUUCCAAGAAAGAAUAUUGUUUCAACAAGUCAACUUAGAAAAUGAUGUAAUGCUAGAUGCUACUUAAGGCUAAUGCUAACACAGCCGUGGUCGUACUUCCUGUGUGUGGAUGGAUUUCUGCAUCCAAUGAGAUGCUUAUACCUUCAAUGAGGUCAGGAGCCCAGUGGUACUGAGAGGCUGGCUUAAUGGAGAACGAAUGCUUUAUGAAUGAACAAGCAGAGAGAUUGAAGUUGGAGCAGAUGGUAAAGGACUUCACGGUGGAGACUCCCACAAAGCCAUUUUGACAGGUCCAUUCAAGCUGGACAACCCUUUCUGCUGAAGAACAUCACGUGAAGUCAGAAUACCUGAACACACAUCGACAGCUCGAGGUGCAGUGGCUGCUGUUUUUCUUUCGCUAUGAGCUGGGUCACUGCUGGAUACUGGACAGUCCAUAAUGGAUAGACUGAUAAAAGGAGCAACCAUUUUUAAAUAAGAGAGAAGUAGAUUAAAAGGAAAUCGUUUUUCAGGGAAAGAAUUGCAUCCUAUGGUGAAGCAUCGUCUAAAUCAAUUAUAACAAAGUAAUACGUUCCUGACUUAGCAGGCCAUGCAUGGGUUUGUUUGGAAAGCCUGUGUCCCUACAAUAUGUAUUCAAACAUUGCUUGUAUUCUGCACCAUGCCAAAACAGAAAGUCUUUUUGGAUGUAAUGUCUCAUAUUCAGAGUAUAGCGUUAGAUUGAAAUGUACUUAACAGCCACUGAUUGAAGCUUCUCAACAACUAAUCAUAACUUCAUUAUCAGCUGACUGAAACUAAGGCUAAAACAGUCGCAGUGUAUUGUAUGGGUUCAUGCUUUGUCUGAUUAAUUUUAAUUAAAGUCAAAGGGUCAUUGCCCAAAAUGUGAUGUGAGCUUGUUUUCGAUAAAGUCGUGACUGAGCAUUUUCCUCAGCCCGGAGUUGGCACAGUAUUCAUUCUCACAUUUAAAUGUGUGCAAGCAGAAAUAGACAAAUACUGUCAUUUGCGGCUGGUUACUUCCUCUCUUUCUAAGAACGUUUCCUCCUGUGGCUAAAC